AGGGGCGGGGCCGGGCGGGGCGAGCGCUCCAGGCCUCCUCCCGACCCUGCGCCGUGCCCAGCCCCUCUGCCCUCCUGUUACCCCGGGACCUCGGGCCGCCAGCCCCUUCCACGUGCAGGCUCCUGCUGCUCUCGCGGGGGCUUUUCGUGUGUCCCCCGAGAUGUCGAGGAAGCCAGAGUCCAGCUCUCCCACGGGUGGCUGUGAUCCUUCUUCCUGGGGAGUCCUGCUGUCCCUGACUAGGGGCACCUGCCCACCUGUCAGCUGCUCCUCCCUCGGCUGGUCCUCCUGGGCUCUGAUGGCCCCAACAUUUCUAGCUCUUCUCACCCAUAGUGCCCCAAGCUUCAUGCAGCUGCGGCAGCAUGAACAGACUGAGAUAGCGGCUUACAUGUAACCGGAAGCUGCAGAAAAACAUCUUCAGACAGCUGAGACGGCUCCCAGGACUCGUGCCUGGCACAGACACCAUCUGCCUGGCAGGGCAAAGAAAGGCGUCUGUGAGUGUGGGAGGAUUCCGAGUCUAACACCCUGAGCCCAGCCAGGAAGGGGCCAGGAAGGCCUCCUCGUGAACAACGAAUGAAACAGAUCCCAGAUCUCAGACAGGGCGGGGAAGGGGAGGGGUACCAUGUCAAGCAGCACUCUGUGUAAGUCGGCACCUGCGCACACUUGCAUGCAGACGUGUGUAUUGUGAGUGUAUGGACAUGUUAGAAAUGGAUGUGUGCAUGUGUCUGCAUGUGUUUGUGCAUUUAUGCACAGACACUACACGGGCAUGCACAUCAUGUACGUAUAUGUUUGCAUAUGUGCACGUGUGUGUACGUGCAUGUGUUCGUGUGUGCAUGCACACAGCAUGCGUGUGUGUGUAUACUUGCAUGCAUGCUAACAUAUGGUGGAGAAUAAAUAAUGAUCACCUCUCUGGAACUGGGGAAAGUAAGUGUUAAACAGAUUUUCGACAGGAAAUGCUGCUGCAAGGAAUUCGUCCGUAGGCUAGCACUACAACCUGGAGGCAGGGAGCAGUGAGGAGUGGAAGUCUUCCCAUCAGAAGUGAGGAAGGCUGGAUACGGUGGCUCACACCAGUAAUCCCAGCACUUUGGGAGGCAAAGGCAGGAGGAUCACUUGAGCCCAGGAGUUUGAGACCAGCCUAGGCAACUUAGCAAGACCUUGUCUUAAAAAAAAAAAAAAAAAUUUUACAAGGAACUACACAGAUGGCAAAAUUAAAAAAAAAAAAAGUGGGAAGAGGGGAGAAAGGGAGAUCAAUGUCUUCUACAGAUUUCAUCUUAUCGGGUGGAGGGUGUGAGGAGUAGAGCCACGUGGUGGGAAACUGUUGGUGUCUUGUUUGCGAAUGACUUUGGAACAAAGACCACCUGAUAAGCACAGUUAAGGAAGGAAAACACACAGGGACUUCCCAGGGAGCCAGGAGGACACUGGGGGAGCAGGAACACCUGCCUUUCCCAUGGGGCCCUGGUGUGCCCAGCCCCCCACUUCAUGUCUGACCCACGUGCUCUCCGGCUGACCUCCUGGGACUCGCACCUGGCCCCCACUUGGUAUCUGAGCCACGUGCUUCCCGGCCCUCACUUGGUAUCUGAGCCAUGUACUUCCCGGCUGACCUCCCGCAACGUGAAGACUACUCUCGCUCCCUUCAAGGCCACUGUCCCCACCGCAGCCAGAGAGGUGUUUUAUAGUUCAAAUCCUGCCCAGGCACCAUCUUGUCUAAAGGCAGCCCUGAGCCGGAAUCUGUGUGCUUUGCUGAUGGGACUGUAAAAUGGCGCAGUCACUUUUGAAACAGUCUGACAGUUCCUCAAAAGCUUAAACAUAGACUUACCACAUACCCAGCAAUUCCACGCCCAGGCUCUGCCCCAGGAGAAUUGAAAACAUCUAUCCACACGGAAACUUGUACACAAAUGUUCACAGUUGCACUAUUUAUCAUCAUCAGAAUGCCUAUAAUUGAUGAACAGGUGAACAAAUUGUGCUAUAUCCAUAUAAUUAAAUAUUAUUCAGUCAUAAAAAA
ensembl:lncRNA novel transcript